CCUCCCUGCGCCUCUGUGCCGCAGGUGCUCCCUGGGGUUGUGGGCAGGGGGCCCUUGUUCGUAGGAGCUGCCCCAUGCUGAUGGCAUCCAGCCUUCCCCGGUGUGAUUUGCCCCAUCCUGGUGGGAUCUGACCUUUCCCACUGGAGUCUGCCCCAUUCUGGUGAGAUCUACCCCUCCCCAGCAGGACCUGCCCAUGCUGGUGGGAUCUGGCCUUUCCCGAUAGAUUUUCCCCAUUCCAGUGGGAUCUGCCCCAUCCUGGUGCGAUCUGGCCUUUCCCAAUGGGCUUUUCCCCAUUCUGGUAGGAUCUGCUUCCCCAUUCCAGUGGGAUCUACCCCAUCCUGGUGGGAUCUGGUCUUUCCCAACAGGACCUGUCCCUUCCUGGUGGGAUUCCCAGCCCUAGCAUCUGGGGAGGAUGGGCAGCAGGUUGAAAAGCACUAGAGCAGCUCUUGGAAGCAGGGAUGUGGCAGGUGACCGCUUGUGAUGUGGUGGCCUUUUAUGCUUGUGGACACGUGUUCUUGGGACAGGGUGUUGGGGUGCAGCACCUGCCAUAGGGUGCGGGCAGGUCCCAGGUGCUGGCUUAACAUAAUAAGUAAGAACAAUAGAAAGUAGGCACUCGGGUUUAAAACCACGCGUCUGUUAGUGGCCAGCCUAAGCCUGGUGGUUAUGCUCGGUUGAAAGCUGGGUGUAAAACAGGCCUUGAAGAGCAGCACUUGCUCCGGGAUGAAAGGUGAGUCAUAUUUGUGUGCAAACGUGGGGUGGCUGGACAACUGGUCAAACUCUGCCCCCGCAGCAGCUACAGAGAGCAACCUGCGCUCACGUGGGUCUUCGGCACUGCUUGUGUUGGGAUGUUUCCCUUUCUUCAUCCUUUCUUUCAUUUUUCCCUUUUCCCUUGAUCAACUUCAUCUCCAAGGGCUCAGGAGUUCUUCCUGCUUUCUGCCGUGCUGCUGAGGGGUCCUGGCAGCUGUCCUCAGCUCUGCACUGACAGGGUUCUCCAGGAUCCCAGGGACAUGGGGAUGGUUGGCCUUCCACUCCUGGUGGGUGGGAGCUCAGCUGCGCUAUUGAAAUUAGCUCAGUCCAGAAUCCUCAGUCCUGGAUCUGAACUUUGAGGAGCUUUGAGACUGCCAGGACCCACGCUGUCCCUCUGCGAAGGAGUGGUGCUACCUUCUGCCAUCGCUUGGGCUGGGGCAGCUACAACCCUUGGUACUGAGGCAUGCAUGUUCCCCUUGCCGGCUUCUCUCCUUUCCCUUUGCUUUUGCCUUUCUCACAUUGCUGAAUUUCUUCUGUUGCAGUCCCGGGUGCCAGUCAACAUAGCAGCUGCAGAGGCAGAAAAGUGUCCCUGCACACAUGGCCUUUUUCUGCCUCUGCACUGUGCUGGCACCUCAGUACAUGUAUUUUUCUGACUAGCUGUGAAUUUGUCUUGCGUGCAGACGUGGAAAUAGCGUGUCAGCUAGACGUGGAGAAAGAUGACCACACAGAGCUUGAGCACGUGUUGCAGCCAGCCUGUUUGUGUGUACUUUAGAAGCGUUGUGGGGAGGAGGACUCAGUGUGUUGCUUUAAUUCACCUCUGAUGCUCUGCCUGUUGCUCUUAGUCAUGUAAGUGUCCUGUGACCCGUAUGUGUAAUGAGGACACCGGUCAGCUGCGGGGUUAGACCUUCGGCAAGGGUGGCUACUUUCAUGCCCCUGCGAGCCCCCUACAUACCAUAACGUCCACGUAGCCAAAAGGGCCCGGGCAUAGCUGUGCCUUUGAAGAGCUAGGGAGCCGGAGGUGAUGGCACGUGGGAGAAGACCGAUCCCAGGUUCGUCGCAGGGGAGAGCUGGGGUGGGCUGCCCGGCCCCGCAGUCCCAGCACAACCCCACGUGCUUGCCUUGCAUGGUUGCCUUGCAAGCUGCAGCCUGCUCUCCUUUGCCCUGUGGCUUUCCCCGCAAGUGAAGCGUGAGGGGAAUUUAAGAUAGUGUGUGGAAGAAAUGUGUGAGAGAGGGGCCAGAGCAGCUUGGGGAUGCAGAGCACGCUGCUUAGCAAGCUGCAGCUCUUCUAGUGAUGCCGCCGUAAACUUGUCAUCAGUCAGGGCUGAGCUCCUCUUUUUCCCCUUCUUGACUUUGCAGUGCUAAGCUGGAAAAAAAGAUGUGCUUGUAUCUGGAUAAGGAUGCUGGGAGGUAUACAGAAUAUCUGUAUUGGUUUACACUGGUAUAACUGUAAGGUGCUGUGUAUGUACGCUUGUGCCCCUUUUGUUUCAGACCAUCCCUAAAGCCCCUUCCUCCUCCACACACCCCACUGCUCAGCUCUGCCAGUGCCAGUCACUGGAGCUGCAGCCCCCUCGCUGGGAAGGUCCCAGGCACUGUUAUUUGUGUGGUGGAGCUGGGACAGGAAUCGCAAUGAGGUUUAUGUGCCUCUCUGGUCGAAGGGGGCUGUGGGGUAUCCCAUCAUGCCGGUGGUUUGUCCAGAGUCCCUCCGGGGACUGAGAGGAGGGGAUGUGCUUUCGGCUGGAGGGCUGGUCUGUUGACUGGUAGUUGCUGUAAUUCACCUUUUUUUGCUACUGUGAGCCAGUCAGUGUUGCAAUGGUUUGAUAAGAUGAAGGACGCUGAAGUGGUUUAUCAUUUGCUACCGGGAGAUAAGACCUGAUUAGGAGGUGAAAGGCCGUGCAAUAUUUCAAUGAGGAUGCUGAGCUGCUGCCGUUUGAGACUGCAGAAAAUAAGCUGCUGUAGUAUUUACUACAACGGCUUGAAAGCUUGUAGUAACUUGCUGUGACCUUUGUUGUCCUCCGGAAUAACUACUAUACAUUGAUGGAAGUGGCAUGCUCUCUGCAUUUUGCAAGCAGUUAUAGCUUUAAUUUUUAACGUGCUACAAGUCUCAGUGUUUCCAGCAGGUACCCCUGAGAGGGGGAAUUGUUUGUUAAGGAAGAGGAGCAGUAAAUAGGUUGAUGUGGAGAAGCCAUGCGAUAAUGCAAUAGAAAAACUUCCUUCUGCAGGAAUGUCCUGAACGUGUCAGUCCUCUGUACUGCCACGUGCACUGGGUAAACUGCCAGGUCUCUUGCUCUGUCUGGGCUGCCAGUGGCCGUCACUUUCAAAGCAGCUUCUGCUCGAACCCUGGCUGUUUUGUGGGAAGAGCAUUCAGGACAGUUUUGGCAGCAAUGCGCCAAGAAGAUGGAGACUGACACUAAGGGCAAGUUUCCAGAGUAGGAGAGCGUUUUCAGCCUGAAAUAAGCGUUUCCAGGAGCUGCUCUGUGCUUUGAGGGAGAAGGUUCUGUGGCUUUGCAGGUUUCGCUGCAAAGAGUCGGGAGCGUGGAGGGAGCGAGUUGCAAAUCAACAGCAGGGAGGUGGGGGAGCAGCAGUGCUGACCCGAUGCCAUCUGAACUCCUCUUCUCUGCUUUAUCCCAAAGAGGGGAAAAAGAGCGAGAGCUGGAGACUGCCUUCCUUCCUGCAGUGCAUUUAUCGUGGCCGCAGCAGCCAGAGAAAAGGCCGCGUAACAGAAGCUGCAAACGUUCACGAAGGUACGCCCAGCUCCCUCGAGGGCCUUGUCCUCCCAACGUGACUGUGUCGGAGGUUCCUCCCUGUCUCCCUGCUGGUCUCGAUGCCUAAAUCCCUUGUUGGUGGCCUCCUUAAGCUAUUUCCAGCUCUACAGCUGCUUUGGCCAGAGCCUGGAGACGACCAGUGCAUGCCUAGCUGCUGUGGUGCCAUCUCCCUGCUUUCUGACUUGCUCCUAAUCUCUCUAAGCACCUACAGCAGUGCUCAGCACCGGCGAUGCGAUGCUGUGGAUUAGCUGGAGCACACCCGAACCGCUGCUUGCUAUUUACACCCUCUCUGAUAGUGCCAGCACUUGGCCCGGGUGCAAAACAAAUGCCUUCAAAGAGCUCUGUGCUCAGGGCUUAACCCAGCCAGCCGGGUGCCCUGGAGGGAGCAGGCAUCGCUCUGCAGCCCUCUGGGCUCAUGCUGCCUCCGGUGAUGUGGGUUUUUGUUUCUUCCUCUCUUGCCUCUCUGUUUCCAGAUGCAUUUUUCAGCUGCAGAGAGUGACACUUCCCCUCUUGAGGAGUGUGCAGUGGUGUAGGACUCUCUUGGUCAAACGUUUGUCAACAUCCUUCAGAUCUUUCACUUGGAGUCAAAACAUGCUGAGUCCAGUGGAGAGCCUGUCCCAGGAGGCUAUAAAAUGCGAGCAGGAGAGGAGGUGCAAAUUGCCCUAUGGAGCAUGCGAGAGGAGAGGUUCUCCCACUCUAAUAAACACAAGGGUCUGAGAAAGAGACCGAAAUGCCCAAUUUGUGCAGCUUUGAGACACUUCCUCUAGAGGAAGACAGUGGGUCAAAAAAUUUGAGUGCCUGAUCUUGCAGUCAAUGCCAGGCAGGUGAAGUCUCAUGUCCAUACAGCAUGCUUUCAAAAGGCUGAGGCUGCAGCAGCCCACGGAGCUGUCUGCAGGGCUGGGACCUAGUGCUCCUUUGCUCACAGAUCGCUCCUGUUUGCUGGAGCAACACUUGAGUUUGUAAAAUCAAUUGAGAAUCAAUUAUGGAAAAAUCAUCCACUCUUAAGAUUGUGGGUCUGUACCAAUUGCUUUGACCGCAUGCUCAUUUCUGUUGCUUUAAAUUGCAAUUUGCAUGGGAAGAAUGGAUCCACAGUUCAGCUCUCCCUUGACCUCUCUCUGCUCUUUGCAGAUGACGUGCAGGACCUUGAGGAAGAAGUGGCUCUGACCAGCCUGUCGCCCAAUGGAAACUAUGAAGAAGUUGCUGGAGGCAUGGGCACCUAGAGCCGCCAGGCACCCAGCAUGGGCCACGUCCCGGAUCUGCCUGGUUGAUUUGGAGCUGUGGGAGGAAAAGCUGGCAUAUGCCCACGUGCCCUCUCCUCUGGGGAGCAGCCGCUUGCCUUAAUUCACCAGGGCCUUCUGUAGCUACCAACAGCCUCUAAGAUCGGUGGCAGCCAGCCCUCCCCUGCUCGCAGUGCUGCAGCAGUGGAGGCUCGUGGGGGCUGCGUCCUGCUGCCUGUGGGGUGCCUGGAGCCACUGAUGGGCGAUGGGCUUUUGAGAAGCCCUUUGGGAACGUUAUCUUCUGGCUGGGCAUGAUGACAUGGGGAUUUGGGGUGGUAAAUGCUGCCGUCUGCCUGCAGAAAGAGGAACGCUUUCAAGUUCUGAGCAAAAUUCCCUGCUGAGAUAGGCCUUGCAGGCUAGUCUCCCUGGCAAGCAGACUGCUGCCGUGUUUUCCUGCUUUCUUGCUGUUUUGAAGUUCCCUCCCACUCUCUGAUCAGGGAGAAAAAGACAACUAACACAGUGGCAUGGGGACUGCAGUGGGACUAAGUAUAAGGCCUCAGAUUGACCGACAGGGUGAAAAGGCUUGAACGUUACUGUGUAAUGCAAAGAAGUGCAAUAACGGUCUGUUCUGGGUUGCAAGAAUAACGCAGAAGAUAUUGAUAGUAAUGGCAGUGGGAGUGUGGUUUUGAGAGCGGGCUGCAUCUGCCUGGCUCGUCUUGGAGCUCAUGGACUGACCGAUGGGCUGCCGGGGUCGGGAGGUGACAGACACGGACUACUAUGUGCUUGAUGUUAGAUGGGGUGACGAGAGAGGUCCGUCUGAGCACGGACACCUCCACAACCAUGUGGUGUCAGGUCCUGGAGGAGGCCCACUGUAUUCCUCCCACUGAGAUGUGGCUGCUUCAUAAAUAAGUAAAUACAUAUAUACGCAUGAAGAAUCGUCUAUCUAAGUAGUUCCAAACGUGGGGCAAAACAGAAUCACAGAGUAGUUGGGGUUGGAAGGGGCUACUGGAGAUCGUCUGGUCCAAGCCCCUGCUCAAGCAGGGUCAAACGCAAUUAAUUACAAAUCCUUGGCUGAUGGAGACUAUUAACAUAAUGCUAGGAAUACCUUUUUUUAUGAUUAUUUUAAUACAACAUACAACAGUUGCUGCACUGUGUAUGGGCCUGGCUGCCCUUUUGAAGGUUCAUCCAGCUCAGGUCAGAAACUUCACCCCUCCUCUCCCGAGUGUGUCCAGGGUGCGGCGGUCACCGCACGGUGACGUUCUUUCCCGAUCCAGUCCAGCCUCACAGGAGUUGGCAGUAUGAUCAGGUGAAUCUUUAUUUUCUUGCAGUAUUUGGCCUUUGCCACCUAGAAUGAAGGAAUGCGGAGUAUAGAUUUGCAGUUAAACCUGUCUUAGUGCUACAAAUCCAACGGAUUUAUUUACAGGUAAUUUAUAGGUAAAUCUGACAAGUUUACCCUGGCAGUGAGACUUUUGUUGAAAGCGAUGAAAUUCCUGGGAUUUAGAGAGAUGUAAGUGGGAAUAUAUUUUCCCCAGGUGUUUUUUUUUUCCUUUGGUGGGGAGGAAUGAAAGUGAUUUUGUUGUUUUUUUUUUUUAAUAGCUGGUCAUGUGGAAGCGCAGCAGACAGAUUUACAAGUUUAACUGGUUUAACAAUUUAAGGCCACUUUUAAGUGCUUGUUGUAAAGAAUAAAGACAUUUAAUUUCUGAA